rnacentral:tRNA from 1 species
GUGGUUGUAGUUUAGAGGUGAGAAUUAUGUGUUAUAGUCGUGGAGUCCUGGGCUCGAAUCCCGGUAACCACG